rnacentral:rRNA from 1 species
GCCCUAGAAAAAAUCUAAGGUGCAACCUGCCCAGUGGCUUCUAAGUCAAAAUAAACAAAAUUAUUAAAAAAAGCUUAAAGGACGCGGUAACCUUGACCGUGAUAAUGUAGCAUAAUCACUCGCCACCUAAUUAGUGGAUAGUAUGAAUGGUUAAACGAAUGUUUCACUGUCUUAAAAAGAAACUUAUAAAAAUUAAAACAAUAGUUAAGAUGCUAUUUAAAAUUGUAAGACGAAAAGACCCUAUAGAGCUUAACUACAAUCUUUCUGAAUUAAAAAGAAAAACAAUUCAAAAAAAGAAAGACUGAUAGUUUAGUUGGGGCGACUAUCUUCUAAAAGAAACGAAGACAAGCAAAGUUAAUAAUAAACUUAUUGUAUAAUCAAUUUAUUUAACAAUUAUAAAUAUAGGCUAUAAUGACCCGUUAUCAACAAGUAACACAAAUAACGAUCAAUAAAUAAAAGCUACCUUAGGGAUAACAGGAUAAUUUCAUUCUAGAGACCCCAUCAAAAAUGAAGUUUGUCACCUCUAUGUUGAAUUAAGAUAUCCUGAUAAUGCAGAAGUUAUCAAAGGUAGGUCUGUUCGACCUUUAAAAUCUU